rnacentral:rRNA from 1 species
AGCGAACGCUGGCGGCAGGCUUAACACAUGCAAGUCGAGCGGGCGUAGCAAUACGUCAGCGGCAGACGGGUGAGUAACGCGUGGGAACGUACCUUUUGGUUCGGAACAACACAGGGAAACUUGUGCUAAUACCGGAUAAGCCCUUACGGGGAAAGAUUUAUCGCCGAAAGAUCGGCCCGCGUCUGAUUAGCUAGUUGGUGAGGUAACGGCUCACCAAGGCGACGAUCAGUAGCUGGUCUGAGAGGAUGAUCAGCCACAUUGGGACUGAGACACGGCCCAAACUCCUACGGGAGGCAGCAGUGGGGAAUAUUGGACAAUGGGGGCAACCCUGAUCCAGCCAUGCCGCGUGAGUGAUGAAGGCCCUAGGGUUGUAAAGCUCUUUUGUGCGGGAAGAUAAUGACGGUACCGCAAGAAUAAGCCCCGGCUAACUUCGUGCCAGCAGCCGCGGUAAUGUAGACGU